rnacentral:rRNA from 1 species
UACGUAGGUGGCAAGCGUUGUCCGGAAUUAUUGGGCGUAAAGCGCGCGCAGGCGGUCCUUUUAAGUCUGAUGUGAAAAGCCCCACGGCUCAACCGUGGAGGGGUCAUUGGAAAACUGGGGGGGACUUGAGUGCAGGAGAGAAGAGUGGAAUUCCACGUGUAGCGGUGAAAUGCGUAGAGAUCCGGAAGAACACCGGUGGCGAAGGCGGCCUGCUGGGCAGUUUUUGCUGACACUGAGGCGCGAAAGCGUGGGGAGCGACAGGG